CGCAGUUAUACCAACCAGGUUUUGGACCCGAUCGACAGAGGUAUAGUGUAUAUUAAUUAAUACGUGAUAGUAGGAACGUGGGAUAUUAUGAAACCCUUACUAAAACCAAUUUGGUUUUUCAUAGCAAAUACACUUGUUCUAAAUAGGUCUAAUUGAUGUAUAUAGAGGAAAAGCGAUUACAUUGGAUUGGCAAUGAAUUUCAGUUGUGAAGAGUAUUACUUCAGUAAGUCCAAACAAAAGUCGGAAAUUUUUUAUAAGGCCCUGAAAUUUAGUAAAAUAUCGAUUUAACACACCUCUAUUUGGCAAACAAUGGAUUUAACAGACAGAAUUUUCGUAUGUCAUACGUGAAAAUUAACAGCCCAUUUAACUUUAAAUGCAUUCUAUACGCACUGUAAUUAAGUUAACGAGCUAUUUUUAUUUUCUCACAUCCAAGAAUCACCACUGUUCGCUUUAUGUCAGAACACCAGUGUCUUUAUAUAUUGUGAUCCCAAGACAAAUAAAUAAAAAUAUUUUUGUGCCUUUGUAAAAUUUAAAUUCCUGUAAAGACAUUAUGCAUUUGUUUGGUUUAAUAUA